AGGACGAACGCUGGCGGCGUGCUUAACACAUGCAAGUCACGGGGGCCCGCAAGGGUAACCGGCGAACGGGUGCGUAACACGUGAGCAACCUGCCUUUGUGUGGGGGAUAGCCGGGCUAACGCCCGGGUAAUACCGCAUACGGUUCUCGAGGGGAGUCCCUUGGGAAAGAAACCUCCGGGGCACAAAGAGGGGCUCGCGGCCUAUCAGCUAGUUGGGGGGGUAAUGGCCCACCAAGGCGACGACGGGUAGCU
rnacentral:rRNA from 1 species